rnacentral:rRNA from 1 species
CUUGGUCAUUUAGAGGAAGUAAAAGUCGUAACAAGGUUUCCGUAGGUGAACCUGCGGAAGGAUCAUUCAUAAUAAGUGUUUUAUGGCACUUUUUAAAUCCAUAUCCACCUUGUGUGCAAUGUCAGUCGAUCUUCUUCAUGGAGAUCGACCAAACAUCAACCUUAUCUUUUAACACUUUGUCUGAAAAAUAUUAUGAAUAAACAAUUCAAAAUACAACUUUCAACAACGGAUCUCUUGGCUCUCGCAUCGAUGAAGAACGCAGCGAAAUGCGAUACGUAAUGUGAAUUGCAGAAUUCAGUGAAUCAUCGAAUCUUUGAACGCAUAUUGCGCUCUUUGGUAUUCCGAAGAGCAUGCUUGUUUGAGUAUCAGUAAACACCUCAAAGCUUUUGAUUUUUUUUUGAAAGUUUUGGACUUGAGCAAUCCCAACACCAAUCUUUUUCAGAUCGGCGGCGGGUUGCUUGAAAUGCAGGUGCAGCUGGACAUUCUCCUGAGCUAAAAGCAUAUUCAUUUAGUCCCGUCAAACGGAUUAUUACUUUUGCUGCAGCUAACAUAAAGGGAGUUUGACCGUAUUGGCUGACUGAUGCAGGAUUUCACAAGGGUCGGCAACGAUUCUUGUUAAACUCGAUCUCAAAUCAAGUAAGACUACCCGCUGAACUUAAGCAUAUCAAUAAGCGGAGGA